UUGAAUAAACUCGGUGGGCUGUUGCUGGCCUCCUUGAGGCAUGUGCACGCCUUCCUGUUUCUUCUUUCACCUCCUGUGCACACUCUGUAGGCUUGGAUAACUUUCGAGGAAACUCGGUUGGGGAGCUCUCUUUGAUAAGACUGCUUCUACAUUUCCGGUCUAUGUCUUUCAUAUACACCACUGUAUGUCAUAGAAUGAAUAAUUUGGGCCUUUAUAAGCCUAUAAAAUGUAAA
rnacentral:misc_RNA from 1 species